rfam:Schistosoma rodhaini strain Burundi genome assembly, scaffold: SROB_contig0006649
AGUCUUUUUUUAUCCGUGCUGAGAUUUCGUCACAUACCAGACCACAAGGGCCGAUGAGACUCCCGAGAUAACUGAAGCA